CACCUGUUUAUCAAAAACAUGUCUUUUUGAAUUUUUUUUAAAGUCUAACCUGCCCACUGAAAUUUUUAAAUGGCCGCAGUAUACUAACUGUGCAAAGGUAGCAUAAUCAUUAGUCUUUUAAUUGAAGGCUGGUAUGAAUGGUUGGACGAGAUAUUAACUGUUUCAUAAGAAUUUAUAAUAGAAUUUUAUUUUUUAGUCAAAAAGCUAAAAUAUAUUUAAAAGACGAGAAGACCCUAUAAAUCUUUAUAUUUAGAUUAUUAUAAUUUUAUAGAUUUUUUUUGUUAUAAUAAUUAAUGAUAUUUUAUUGGGGUGAUAUUAAAAUUUAAUAAACUUUUAAUUGUUAAAAUCAUUAAUUUAUGAAUAAUUGAUCCGUUAUUAGCGAUUAAAAAAAUAAGUUACUUUAGGGAUAACAGCGUAAUUUUUUUGGAGAGUUCAUAUCGAUAAAAAAGAUUGCGACCUCGAUGUUGGAUUAAGAUAUAAUUUUAGGUGUAGCCGCUUAAAUUUUAAGUCUGUUCGACUUUUAAAUUCUUACGUGAUCUGAGUUCAGACCGG
rnacentral:rRNA from 1 species